GACGAAUGCUGGCGGCGUGCUUAACACAUGCAAGUCGAACGGAAAGGCCCUGCUUUUGUGGGGUGCUCGAGUGGCGAACGGGUGAGUAACACGUGAGUAACCUGCCCUUGACUUUGGGAUAACUUCAGGAAACUGGGGCUAAUACCGGAUAGGAGCUCCUGCUGCAUGGUGGGGGUUGGAAAGUUUCGGCGGUUGGGGAUGGACUCGCGGCUUAUCAGCUUGUUGGUGGGGUAGUGGCUUACCAGGGCUUUGACGGGUAGCCGGCCUGAGAGGGUGACCGGCCACAUUGGGACUGAGAUACGGCCCAGACUCCUACGGGAGGCAGCAGUGGGGAAUAUUGCACAAUGGGCGGAAGCCUGAUGCAGCAACGCCGCGUGCGGGAUGACGGCCUUCGGGUUGUAAACCGCUUUCGCCUGUGACGAAGCGUGAGUGACGGUAAUGGGUAAAGAAGCACCGGCUAACUACGUG
rnacentral:rRNA from 1 species